rnacentral:rRNA from 1 species
GAUGUCCGAAUGGGGAAACCCAGUGCAAUUCGUUGCACUAUCGUUAACUGAAUACAUAGGUUAACGAGGCGAACCGGGGGAACUGAAACAUCUAAGUACCCCGAGGAAAAGAAAUCAACCGAGAUUCCCCCAGUAGCGGCGAGCGAACGGGGAGCAGCCCAGAGUCUGAAUCAGCUUGUGUGUUAGUGGAACGGUCUGGAAAGUCCGACGGUACAGGGUGAUAGUCCCGUACACCAAAAUGCACAGGCUGUGAACUCGAAGAGUAGGGCGGGACACGUGGUAUCCUGUCUGAAUAUGGGGGGACCAUCCUCCAAGGCUAAAUACUCCUGACUGACCGAUAGUGAACCAGUACCGUGAGGGAAAGGCGAAAAGAACCCCGGCGAGGGGAGUGAAAAAGAACCUGAAACCGUGUACGUACAAGCAGUGGGAGCACCUUCGGGUGUGACUGCGUACCUUUUGUAUAAUGGGUCAGCGACUUAUAUUCUGUAGCAAGGUUAACCGUAUAGGGGAGCCGCAGGGAAACCGAGUCUUAACUGGGCGUUAAGUUGCAGGGUAUAGACCCGAAACCCGGUGAUCUAGCCAUGGGCAGGUUGAAGGUUGGGUAACACUAACUGGAGGACCGAACCGACUAAUGUUGAAAAAUUAGCGGAUGACUUGUGGCUGGGGGUGAAAGGCCAAUCAAACCGGGAGAUAGCUGGUUCUCCCCGAAAGCUAUUUAGGUAGCGCCUCGUGAAUUCAUCUUCGGGGGUAGAGCACUGUUUCGGCUAGGGGGUCAUCCCGACUUACCAACCCGAUGCAAACUACGAAUACCGAAGAAUGUUAUCACGGGAGACACACGGCGGGUGCUAACGUCCGUCGUGAAGAGGGAAACAACCCAGACCGCCAGCUAAGGUCCCAAAGUCAUGGUUAAGUGGGAAACGAUGUGGGAAGGCACAGACAGCCAGGAUGUUGGCUUAGAAGCAGCCAUCAUUUAAAGAAAGCGUAAUAGCUCACUGGUCGAGUCGGCCUGCGCGGAAGAUGUAACGGGGCUAAACCAUGCACCGAAGCUGCGGCAGCGACACUAUGUGUUGUUGGGUAGGGGAGCGUUCUGUAAGCCUGCGAAGGUGACCUGUGAGGGUUGCUGGAGGUAUCAGAAGUGCGAAUGCUGACAUAAGUAACGAUAAAGCGGGUGAAAAGCCCGCUCGCCGGAAGACCAAGGGUUCCUGUCCAACGUUAAUCGGGGCAGGGUGAGUCGACCCCUAAGGCGAGGCCGAAAGGCGUAGUCGAUGGGAAACAGGUUAAUAUUCCUGUACUUGGUGUUACUGCGAAGGGGGGACGGAGAAGGCUAUGUUAGCCGGGCGACGGUUGUCCCGGUUUAAGCAUGUAGGCUGGUUGUCCAGGCAAAUCCGGAUAAUCAAGGCUGAGGUGUGAUGACGAGGCACUACGGUGCUGAAGUAACAAAUGCCCUGCUUCCAGGAAAAGCCUCUAAGCAUCAGGUAACAUCAAAUCGUACCCCAAACCGACACAGGUGGUCAGGUAGAGAAUACCAAGGCGCUUGAGAGAACUCGGGUGAAGGAACUAGGCAAAAUGGUGCCGUAACUUCGGGAGAAGGCACGCUGGUGUGUAGGUGAAGUCCCUGCGGAUGGAGCUGAGACCAGUCGAAGAUACCAGCUGGCUGCAACUGUUUAUUAAAAACACAGCACUGUGCAAACACGAAAGUGGACGUAUACGGUGUGACGCCUGCCCGGUGCCGGAAGGUUAAUUGAUGGGGUUAUCCGUAAGGAGAAGCUCUUGAUCGAAGCCCCGGUAAACGGCGGCCGUAACUAUAACGGUCCUAAGGUAGCGAAAUUCCUUGUCGGGUAAGUUCCGACCUGCACGAAUGGCGUAAUGAUGGCCAGGCUGUCUCCACCCGAGACUCAGUGAAAUUGAACUCGCUGUGAAGAUGCAGUGUACCCGCGGCAAGACGGAAAGACCCCGUGAACCUUUACUAUAGCUUGACACUGAACAUUGAGCCUUGAUGUGUAGGAUAGGUGGGAGGCUUUGAAGCGUGGACGCCAGUCUGCGUGGAGCCAACCUUGAAAUACCACCCUUUAAUGUUUGAUGUUCUAACGUUGGCCCCUGACCGGGGUUGCGGACAGUGUCUGGUGGGUAGUUUGACUGGGGCGGUCUCCUCCCAAAGCGUAACGGAGGAGCACGAAGGUUAGCUAAUCCUGGUCGGACAUCAGGAGGUUAGUGCAAUGGCAUAAGCUAGCUUGACUGCGAGCGUGACGGCGCGAGCAGGUGCGAAAGCAGGUCAUAGUGAUCCGGUGGUUCUGAAUGGAAGGGCCAUCGCUCAACGGAUAAAAGGUACUCCGGGGAUAACAGGCUGAUACCGCCCAAGAGUUCAUAUCGACGGCGGUGUUUGGCACCUCGAUGUCGGCUCAUCACAUCCUGGGGCUGAAGUAGGUCCCAAGGGUAUGGCUGUUCGCCAUUUAAAGUGGUACGCGAGCUGGGUUUAGAACGUCGUGAGACAGUUCGGUCCCUAUCUGCCGUGGGCGCUGGAGAAUUGAGGGGGGCUGCUCCUAGUACGAGAGGACCGGAGUGGACGCAUCACUGGUGUUCGGGUUGUCAUGCCAAUGGCACUGCCCGGUAGCUAAAUGCGGAAGAGAUAAGUGCUGAAAGCAUCUAAGCACGAAACUUGCCCCGAGAUGAGUUCUCCCUGAGACUUUAAGUCUCCUGAAGGAACGUUGAAGACGACGACGUUGAUAGGCCGGGUGUGUAAGCGCAGCGAUGCGUUGAGCUAACCGGUACUAAUGAACCGUGAGGCUUAACCUUACAACGCCGAAG